rnacentral:rRNA from 1 species
AGAGUUUGAUCCUGGCUCAGAUUGAACGCUGGCGGAAUGCUUUACACAUGCAAGUCGAACGGCAGCACGGGAGCUUGCUCCUGGUGGCGAGUGGCGAACGGGUGAGUAACAUAUCGGAACGUACCCAGUCGUGGGGGAUAACUAUCCGAAAGGAUAGCUAAUACCGCAUACGUCCUGAGGGAGAAAGCGGGGGAUCGCAAGACCUCGCGCGAUUGGAGCGGCCGAUAUCGGAUUAGCUAGUUGGUGGGGUAAAGGCUCACCAAGGCGACGAUCCGUAGCGGGUCUGAGAGGACGACCCGCCACACUGGAACUGAGACACGGUCCAGACUCCUACGGGAGGCAGCAGUGGGGAAUUUUGGACAAUGGGGGCAACCCUGAUCCAGCCAUUCCGCGUGAGUGAAGAAGGCCUUCGGGUUGUAAAGCUCUUUCAGCAGGAACGAAACGGUCGGCUUUAAUAAAGUCGGCUAAUGACGGUACCUGCAGAAGAAGCACCGGCUAACUACGUGCCAGCAGCCGCGGUAAUACGUAGGGUGCGAGCGUUAAUCGGAAUUACUGGGCGUAAAGCGUGCGCAGGCGGCGACAUAAGACAGAUGUGAAAUCCCCGGGCUCAACCUGGGAACUGCGUUUGUGACUGUGUUGCUAGAGUGUAGCAGAGGGGGGUGGAAUUCCACGUGUAGCAGUGAAAUGCGUAGAGAUGUGGAGGAACACCGAUGGCGAAGGCAGCCCCCUGGGUUAACACUGACGCUCAUGCACGAAAGCGUGGGGAGCAAACAGGAUUAGAUACCCUGGUAGUCC